rnacentral:rRNA from 1 species
AUUGAACGCUGGCGGCAGGCUUAACACACGCAAGUCGAGCGGGGUGAUGGUGCUUGCACUAUCACUUAGCGGCGGACGGGUGAGUAAUGCUUAGGAAUCUGCCUAUUAGUGGGGGACAACAUCUCGAAAGGGAUGCUAAUACCGCAUACGUCCUACGGGAGAAAGCAGGGGAUCACUUGUGACCUUGCGCUAAUAGAUGAGCCUAAGUGGGAUUAGCUAGUUGGUGGGGUAAAGGCCUACCAAGGCGACGAUCUGUAGCGGGUCUGAGAGGAUGAGCCGCCACACUGGGACUGAGACACGGCCCAGACUCCUACGGGAGGCGGCAGUGGGGAAUAUUGGACAAUGGGGGGAACCCUGAUCCAGCCAUGCCGCGUGUGUGAAGAAGGCCUUAUGGUUGUAAAGCACUUUAAGCGAGGAGGAGGCUCUUUUGGUUAAUACCCAAGAUGAGUGGACGUUACUCGCAGAAUAAGCACCGGCUAACUCUGUGCCAGCCGCCGCAGUAA